ACACCUGUUGCAACGCAGUGUUGUGCAGCGUCCGUGCCGGUUUAGAAGUCCGUGGGCAAUGCAUGCAUGCAUUUGCUGCUCCAGGUUGAGCACGUAAGUUUGAAACGGAUUGUGAGUGUAUGGAGUAGAAGCCUGGCGGAAUGGGCAUCCGAGAAUGGGCAUGCGUGUUUCGUGUCGAGAGAAGGUGAAUAUUAGCCUAGGUGACAUUCGUAGGAGCUCUGUGGAGUUCAUCGUGGCUGCCACAACUGAGAUCACCGCCAUGGAGCAUGGCAUCGUGUUUAGUGCUGUUAAGAGGAGCAUUGUGCGCCUCAGCAAGGCAUCAGACGGUGGUGACGAUGACCACAUCGAGGAACAGAGGAGAAUGACCUCUCCUCUGUUUCUGCGGUGAUCUCCAUGUUGUUACAGUUUGUCGCAGAAUAAGUGAAGCGAUUUUGCAUAAAGCAAUUGUGAGUCGUCGGAACUCUGGGAUUUGAGUCGGGCAGGGUGCGGGCAGGAAGCGGUUAGUGGCACAGUUUUCUGAUGUUACGGUUUGUUGACAAUAAUCGAUUCGCUAUGUAUUUGCAACACAUUCAGCAACAA